GAAACAUCAUGUUAACUCUUACUGUCAAUGAUUCCCUAGAUGCUCGUAUUUCCCAUAUCCAAGGUAUACCUGGAGUAUUGUUUUUUAAGAGGAAUUCUGGCUCUAAAUGUAUAAGCCAGUAUUGAAUUGUAUAAAGUACCUCACCACCUCGUCCUCGCGUUGUCACUGAAGUUUGUGCAACGUUCACAUACAUGUCACCUGACCAAUUUACCAUUUCCUCUCCAUUAACUACAAUC